AUGUCGAGGUAUGAUCUCGAGGACCAGCUUUCGACCAUCUACACUGACGAGAAGGCCUACUGGCGGAUGCGCGACACCCAACGUUGGGUGCUUCAGGGCGAUGCUAACACGGCCUACUUCCAGGAGAUUGCCAACGGCCGGCGGCGCCGUAACUCCAUUCAUUCCCUGUGGGCAGGAGACCUUCAGCUUGUCCGCCCCUCGGAUGUCCGCGCACACGUUGAUGGCUUUUAUAAAGCCCUUUUUACCCCCACCCCGCGGGGUGGGGCGGUACUGGCCCCCGACACUUGGUCGGGGGACCAGCUUGUUUCUGCCGAGGCCAAUGGCGCUCUAGUGGCACCUUUCUCGGAGGAGGAAGUCCUUGCGGCCAUCAAAGGGAUGAACCCCUCCUCGGCACUGGGCCCGGAUGGACUUCCGGUUCUGUUCUUUAAAACAUUCUGGCCAACAAUUAAGCCGGAGGUCAUGGCCCUCUUCGACGAGUUCUUCUCUGGGACCAUGGACCUGGGGCGCCUGAACUAUGGGAUCAUUACCCUCAUCCCUAAAGUCCCUGGGGCCUCGGACAUCUGCCAGUUUCGUCCCAUUACCGUGAUUAAAGUGAUCUUCAGGAUCCUGGCCAAGGGGUACGCUAAUAGGGUGACCCUUCUGGCGGAUUCUAUUACCCACCCCAACCAGUCUGCCUUCACCCAAGGCAGAUUUAUUUUGGAUGGGGUGCUAGUCUUCCACAAAGUCCUCCACGAAGUUCGAGCGAAGCAUCUU
rnacentral:rRNA from 1 species